AAGAUCAUACUUCACAGGAUCAUUUCUGUAGUAUAUCUUCGGAUCUGCUCUGCGAAACGCUGAGUUGAUGCAAUCAUGAUGAGGAGAUAUAGCCCUCUUCCUUGAGCGUGAGGACGACUUACAAUUUGAUAUUUUUAAUCAAGAUUCGUAGUCAUCGAUGAUCGUUCGCUCUUCUUAUUCAAUAGGGAGAGUUAUGGGAAGUAGGGCUUUCUGAGUGGU